AGAGUUUGAUCCUGGCUCAGAUUGAACGCUGGCGGAAUGCUUUACACAUGCAAGUCGAACGGCAGCACGGGAGCUUGCUCCUGGUGGCGAGUGGCGAACGGGUGAGUAAUGCGUCGGAACGUACCGAGUAAUGGGGGAUAACGCAGCGAAAGUUGUGCUAAUACCGCAUACGCCUGAGGGGGAAAGUGGGGGAUCGCAAGACCUCACGUUAUUCGAGCGGCCGACGUCUGAUUAGCUAGUUGGUGGGGUAAUGGCUCACCAAGGCGACGAUCAGUAGCGGGUCUGAGAGGAUGAUCCGCCACACUGGGACUGAGACACGGCCCAGACUCCUACGGGAGGCAGCAGUGGGGAAUUUUGGACAAUGGGGGCAACCCUGAUCCAGCCAUUCCGCGUGAGUGAAGAAGGCCUUCGGGUUGUAAAGCUCUUUCAGCAGGAACGAAACGGUACGCUCUAACAUGGCGUGCUAAUGACGGUACCUGCAGAAGAAGCACCGGCUAACUACGUGCCAGCAGCCGCGGUAAUACGUAGGGUGCGUGCGUUAAUCGGAAUUACUGGGCGUAAAGCGUGCGCAGGCGGAUUGUUAAGCAAGACGUGAAAUCCCCGGGCUUAACCUGGGAAUGGCGUUUUGAACUGGCAGUCUAGAGUGUGUCAGAGGGGGGUGGAAUUCCACGUGUAGCAGUGAAAUGCGUAGAGAUGUGGAGGAACACCGAUGGCGAAGGCAGCCCCCUGGGAUAACACUGACGCUCAUGUACGAAAGCGUGGGUAGCAAACAGGAUUAGAUACCCUGGUAGUCCACGCCCUAAACGAUGUCAACUGGUUGUUGGGGGAGUGAAAUCCCUUAGUAACGAAGCUAACGCGUGAAGUUGACCGCCUGGGGAGUACGGUCGCAAGAUUAAAACUCAAAGGAAUUGACGG
rnacentral:rRNA from 1 species